GCCGUUCCCGAGGCUGCGGAUGGCGUCGAAGAUCCCCUGCUCAUGCUGAGAAAGUCUGGGAGGUUUGUUGAUGGCCUUGAGCUGAGCCGGUCCCCACCUGGGGUCAAACCCCCAGGACUGUGCAGAACCAAGGAAGAAGAAUUUCUCCUUCCAGCCAUGAAUGGAUGAGGGGGCGCCAUGAAAAAGUGGCCGACCCACCCGAAGGGCG
rnacentral:lncRNA from 1 species